GGACAGAUGGCCGAGCGGUCUAAGGCGCUACGUUCAGGUGCCCCGUCCAUCACGGACACCACCCGCUUCGUAGUCUCGCAAGAGGCGUGGGUUCGAAUCCCACUCUGUUCA